AGGACGAACGCUGGCGGCGCGCUUAAUACAUGCAAGUCGAGCGAGAACCGGACCUUCGGGUCCGGGGAAGCGGCGAACGGGUGAGUAACACGUGGGUAAUCUGCCCUCGGUACUGGGAUAGCCCGGGGAAACCCGGAUUAAUACCGGAUAGCCUUUCGAGCUCUCGGGCUCGUUAGAAAAUGGUGGCUUCGGCUUCCGACUGAGGAUGAGCCCGCGGCGGAUUAGCUUGUUGGUGAGGUAAUGGCUCACCAAGGCUCCGAUCCGUAGCUGGUCUGACGAGGACGAUCAGCCACACUGGGACUGAGACACGGCCCAG
rnacentral:rRNA from 1 species